GCUGCUGCAGCACCUGGGUUCACGCAGUUCACCUCGCGUGAACCUAAUAUUUAAAAUGCCCAACGACACAAUCAAAUUAAGCUUCCGCGUGGGUUAUGGUCAGCCUUACUGUGCCUGGACAUAGCUCUAAGAAAGGUUGCGUCCACCUUAACUAUUGACUCAUUUAAUGCUAAACGCGCGUGUAUGCUAAUGACCAAAAUCAAACACAUCUGUGACGCUGCGUGACGCAGGUGCUAGCUUAACACGCUAAUGUUCACGUGCGUCCCUAAGAGCUUUGACUAGAGGGAUUUUACGUUUACUUACUACUACUGUUUUUGACAAUAAACCCCAAUGUGACCGCAUUCAGCUCAACAUUUCGGAAAACUGUGAGGAGCGCAGUGGCACAAAAAGGACGAAUAGACUGUUAUAUUCACGUUAUGUUUUAAAAUGAAGGAGCAGAGAAGUUUGACAGAGCAGACUAAACGGGGGGGCUUCACGUGGACACAGCUCACAGAGUGACUCACACAGUGCAGAUGGAGGAGUCCGCGUGGACAAAGCUCACAGGGUGACUCAUACAGGCUGACCCUGCAACGGCCUCAGAGCUCUUCCCGUCUUCUUCGCCAUCACCAUGGGCAUCAACCUCUCUAUCAUUUUUUUACAGGGGCACUACAUGAGUACCACACCCAUGUUCAUUUUGAUUCACACAGCAGCUGUUGAAAGCCCUGGCGCAAGAUGAGGUCUGAAUAAAUGUCACUGGAGACGCAGAGGAGAGUUGAUGGCAAUCUUCAUAGGACAAAGUAGGUCUUGGAAAAAAAUGAGGAUGCAUUUAAAAAAAAAACCAUUUAGAUUAUUUUUGUUUUGGUCAUUCUGGACAUUGUUUCAUCAGCCAAAAAUGCAUCUACCCUGGCAUAUCUGUCAUGAUGAACUGUUCUCUUAAAAUAAUACCAUUGAUAAAACAGUCAGACACUAGGACUUGUUUGCACAGGACUAAAGCCACCAAACACAACAAAAAUAAAAUAAAACCAGUUUAAUGGGCUUUCAAGAAAGCAACAAAUAACAUACAUAACGUGUGUGGGUCAGGAACUAUAACACAUCAUAUCUCCUGCUAUGCAAAAUUACAGCGUAAUACAGCAGAGUGCACUUCUCACACUGAUACUGCACACAUGUCCCAGCCAAUAUUUUAUUUUUGACACUGAGAUACAGAAAACCUAGUAUUUUGUCUCAAUGGACAAUGUUUGGCUUCACAUGCACGCUGAUAACGAAAGCCACUGCUUUUACUGUUUGGCUUUUUAUUUGUUGCUAAGCUGCUGUUGUUUACAAAUAGGUAAGUUGCGACUGUGAGGGAAAAAUUCAAUCAUUCAGUACUAACCUGCAUUAAGCUAUCUAACUCAAGCAGUUACAGAAAUGACUUUGUUAGCUUUCAAAGAAAUGUCAAAGUAUACCACCGUAACAUCACUGGGCUGCCAGACUUUUGAACGUUAUCUGAUUGGAGGAGUGUGUUCGCUGAAACACUGGAGCAGGCCACUGAGACAUUUUGACCACAGCUCGUGAAACAGAGAAGGUGUGGUUACUUUGGAAAAAUUAUCACCUUUUUUUCCUGGGAACUAAUACAUGAUGCCACGAGGGUCAACAUGUCAGAGACCUUUAAGAUGUUACAAAGUCAGGAAAGUUUGUAGGACUGUAUCAGUACUAACAGUUUCUUAUCUCACUAUUUUGAAAGGAGCAGCAUCAGUUGUGAAUAAAUUAAAGAAGCUGUUUGUCCUUAUCUCAGACAGACCUCUCUCUCGUGUCCCUGCUUGCACAGUGCUAGUGUGGUACACUGUGCAUUAUGCUGUGAUAUGCUUUAUGUACUGCUUUGGUCGUUUGGUUCGUUGCCUUUCCAUACCUCAAAAAGAAAAUCAAGCAUGAUUAAGUCCUACAC